rnacentral:rRNA from 1 species
GAUGAACGCUGGCGGCGUGCCUAAUACAUGCAAGUCGGACGCAAUGCUUCGGCAUUGAGUGGCGAACGGGUGAGUAAUACAUAAGCAACCUGCCCCUGUGAGGGGGAUAACUGCUGGAAACGGCAGCUAAGACCGCAUAGGCAUACAUGACGCAUGUCGAGUAUGUUAAAUAUCCCACGGGAUAGCACAGGGAUGGGCUUAUGACGCAUUAGCUAGCUGGUGAGGUAGAGGCUCACCAGGGCGACGAUGCGUAGCCGGACUGAGAGGUUGAACGGCCACAUUGGGACUGAGACACGGCCCAG